rnacentral:rRNA from 1 species
AUUGAACGCUGGCGGCAGGCCUAACACAUGCAAGUCGAACGGAGCGGCGGACGGGUGAGUAAUGCCUAGGAAACUGCCUGUUAGUGGGGGAUAACGUCCGGAAACGGGCUCUAAUACCGCAUACUACAAAAUAAGCGUAGGUCGGAUUAGCUAGGUGGUGGGGUAAAGGCCUACCAAGGCGACGAUCCGUAAAUGGGCUGAGAGGAUGACCAGUCCCACUGGAACUGAGACACGGUCCAGACUCCUACGGGAGGGAGCAGUGGGGAAUAUUGGACAAUGGGCGCAAGCCUGAUGCAGCCAUGCCGCGUGUGUGAAGAAGGUCUUCGGAUUGUAAAGCACUUUAAGUUGGGAGGCGUUACCAACAGAAUAAGCACCGGCUAACUUCGUGCCAGCAGCCGCGGUAAUAC